AUUGAACGCUGGCGGCAUGCCUUACACAUGCAAGUCGGACGGUAACGCGGGGCAACCUGGCGACGAGUGGCGAACGGGUGAGUAAUGCAUCGGAACGUGCCUGGUAGUGGGGGAUAACUGCUCGAAAGAGCAGCUAAUACCGCAUACGACCUGAGGGUGAAAGGGGGGGAUCGCAAGACCUCUCGCUAUCAGAGCGGCCGAUGUCGGAUUAGCUAGUUGGUGGGGUAAAGGCCCACCAAGGCAACGAUCCGUAGCUGGUCUGAGAGGACGACCAGCCACACUGGGACUGAGACACGGCCCAGACUCCUACGGGAGGCAGCAGUGGGGAAUUUUGGACAAUGGACGCAAGUCUGAUCCAGCCAUGCCGCGUGCGGGAAGAAGGCCUUCGGGUUGUAAACCGCUUUUGUCAGGGAAGAAAUCUUCUGGGUUAAUACCUCGGGAGGAUGACGGUACCUGAAGAAUAGGCACCGGCUAACUACGUGCCAGCAGCCGCCGUAAAAC
rnacentral:rRNA from 1 species